rnacentral:lncRNA from 1 species
CUGAAGCUUUCGCAAUCCCUAAUGGAGAGGCUUGUGAGCUUUGGAAACAAGGAUAGAGGGAAACUAAGGAGAUUGCUGCAGCUACUUCCGAUGAACAGGUGCUCGAGCUGUGAGUAACUCCGUGUUGGCUGUAAACUAUAUGAGAAAUCUAGUUUCUUACAGUCUCUUAUGUAUAGGGUUCUCAAUGUGGUUGGAGGGUGGCUCCCAGGAAAAGAUUCCAGAGAGUGACAAGCAAUGAUGAUCAGUUCUUGGAGAUUUGAAUAGCUUUCCGUUAAGCUUUCCGGUAAGGAAGUGAGUCCAUCGCAGCUGUCAAUGUGGAGUGACUGCAGAUUCUGGGGAAGCUCCAUGAGGUGAGAGAUAUCUGUCACUUUCAAAUAUUCCAUGUCUGUUUCAUCAUUAUGUUGUGUAAGCCUUUUGUUAUCUACAUCACUUGACGGUGGACUCCGGACAGGUAGCUUUCCAUAUUCCUGGUACUGGUAGCUACUACUUCCAGGAAGACCAGAACCUCCAUCAUUGGGAUCUGGAACAAGCGAUGUUCUUGAUAUA